AGAGUUUGAUCCUGGCUCAGGAUGAACGCUGGCGGCGUGCCUAAUACAUGCAAGUCGAGCGAACAGACGAGGAGCUUGCUCCUCUGACGUUAGCGGCGGACGGGUGAGUAACACGUGGGUAACCUACCUAUAAGACUGGGAUAACUCCGGGAAACCGGGGCUAAUACCGGAUAACACAUGAAACCGCAUGGUUUCAUGAUGAAAGACGGUUUUGCUGUCACUUAUAGAUGGACCCGCGGCGUAUUAGCUAGUUGGUAAGGUAACGGCUUACCAAGGCAACGAUACGUAGCCGACCUGAGAGGGUGAUCGGCCACACUGGAACUGAGACACGGUCCAGACUCCUACGGGAGGCAGCAGUAGGGAAUCUUCCGCAAUGGGCGAAAGCCUGACGGAGCAACGCCGCGUGAGUGAUGAAGGUCUUCGGAUCGUAAAACUCUGUUAUUAGGGAAGAACAAGGGUGUAAGUAACU
rnacentral:rRNA from 1 species